rnacentral:rRNA from 1 species
CGGGAAACUGGGGAUAAUACCCUAUAGGUUACAGAUGCUGGAAUGCCCUGUAACCCAAAGCUCCGGCGCCUUAGGAUGGAUCUGCGGCCGAUUAGGUUGUUGUUGGGGUAACGGCCCAACAAGCCGGUAAUCGGUACGGGUUGUGGGAGCAAGAGCCCGGAGUUGGAUUCUGAGACACGAAUCCAGGCCCUACGGGGCGCAGCAGGCGCGAAAACUUUACAAUGCGGGCAACCGUGAUAAGGGAACCUCGAGUGCCUGUACAGGCAGGCUGUUCGGGUGUCUAAAACACACCUGAAGAAAGGGCCGGGCAAGACCGGUGCCAGCCGCCGCGGUAACA